AGCACUGGGCAUCACGGCUGGGCUGGGACUGAACCCCUGGUAACCCCCAGGAGCCAAGGUGUGGGCCCUUCCACGGCCCAGUUUGUUUCCAGCUUCUCCACUCUCCAAGCUUUGUUUGUCUCCCACUGUUUCCCUCCUCUGGAUCCACAGCAGGAACACGGCUCUGGAGCCCGAUGGCAUCACUUGUCCCCGGGUCAGAACCAGCCCAGCUCCUUCCAACACAGUCACUCACCCACAGCACCCAAACCCAGAGGAAGACCCUUCCCUCCCCCCAGUCCCACCCUCCCCAUUUAUUCCCACAGAGACCUGGAUCCCACCUCACCUCCCUUGCUCUCCUUGCUGUCCUGGACCUCUCCUACAUCCAGGAAGGCCCCACGUCUCUUCCAAGGCUCCGUCUUCUACAGAUCCCCCGUGGUGACUUCCAGUCCCGGAUCCUCACACGGGAACGGUGCCUGGGGCUCGUCUGCCAGGACAGAGGUGGCCACAGGGAGAUGUUGCAGGGCAGGAAGCGGGUGAUGGCACCGGGAAGGAGAGGGAGGAACAUCCGCAGGCUCUCGGAUCCGCUUCCCCCCGGUGCUUCACUAAACAUCACCUAUGGAAAAGUGUUGUUACUCCUGCUUGGGACAAGGUCUGAAGUGCACCAGGACUGAGGAGCUGAUCAUGGACAGGCAGCAGAACUCAGUGCCCUGCUCCUCACCCCACUUCAGUCACUCCUCCUCAUCUGCCCCUGCACUGCAGCCCCUCCUCUGCCUGCACCACUCCUGCACCAGGAGCCACAUCCAUCCUGGAUCCAUCCCAUCCUCCUGACAGGCCCCUCUCCCUUCUCAGUCAGCCCAGAGCCACAGAAAGUUUCAGGGUCGCUUCUUCCUCACAGAAAUUACUCAGUUUAGCCAAAAGCCAGAGCAGUGACUGCUUGUGGGCUUUCAACAGCAAACAUUUCCACACUGCUCUCAGAAACCACACUGGGUUGAGUCCUUCAUCACUGCUUUUGUUAUUUCAGUUUAUCCCCUCCAGCUCCUCUCCCUCCCUGUUUAUCUUCUCUGAAAAGCACCUUCUGGCUUUAAAAGUUUAGUUCUUCUUUUCAAAGACAAAACACCAGCGUGAGAACUUGGAGUACCUUUACAUUCAAGAGAGACUUUUGCCUUACAACUCCUCUUUGAAAUAAUUCCUUUGUUUGAUCAUUUAUGCCUUUUUCUUUCCUGAAACUUGGAUCUGUUGGGCUGGGAGGUAAGGUUAUGGUUGAUCACUUCUGCUUUGCUCUCUGCUUCUCAGACACUGAAAUAUCGCACUGUGGGUGAGCACCAUCCUGCUGCAGCAAAACAAAGGUGGAUUUUGUUUGUAAAUUGUCUCUGGAAAGCAAAUCGGAAAGUUCUUGGAAAGCAAAACCUCCUGCUUCUUCCUGAACAACAGAACACAGGACCACUUUGAUUAGCACCAAAAGGAUUUUAAAUGAAUAGUUCCAGGGAGCUCCUUUCAAAUCAUAAAAUGUCAAUUUUACAUAAAAGUGUGUUUACAAAUAGUUUCUGCUUUACACUCAGCUCUGCCCAUUACUGACCAGAAGUUAUAUACACACAAACUAGCUCAGCAGCUUCAACCACUUGCAAGGGAGGACUGCGGAAUUUAUUUAAGAAAUAAAAAUAGGAUUUUCCUGGUUCCUAGAAAUUCU
rnacentral:lncRNA from 1 species